UGGGGAAUAUUGCACAAUGGGCGCAAGCCUGAUGCAGCCAUGCCGCGUGUGUGAAGAAGGCCUUCGGGUUGUAAAGCACUUUCAGCGAGGAGGAAGGUGGUGGACUUAAUACGUUCAUCAAUUGACGUUACUCGCAGAAGAAGCACCGGCUAACUCCGUGCCAGCAGCCGCGGUAAUACGGAGGGUGCAAGCGUUAAUCGGAAUUACUGGGCGUAAAGCGCACGCAGGCGGUUUGUUAAGUCAGAUGUGAAAUCCCCGGGCUCAACCUGGGAACUGCAUUUGAAACUGGCAAGCUAGAGUCUCGUAGAGGGGGGUAGAAUUCCAGGUGUAGCGGUGAAAUGCGUAGAGAUCUGGAGGAAUACCGGUGGCGAAGGCGGCCCCCUGGANGAAGACUGACGCUCAGGUGCGAAAGCGUGGGGAGCAAACAGAUUAGAUACCCUGGUAGUCCACGCUGUAAACGAUGUCGAUUUUGGAGGUUGUGCCCCUUGAGGCGUGGNUUCCGGAGCUAACG
rnacentral:rRNA from 1 species